AGGGGUAUAGCUCAGUUAGGUAGAGCGGCGGUCUCCAAAACCGUAGGUCGCAGGUUCAAAUCCUGCUGCCCCUGCCA
rnacentral:tRNA from 1 species